GAAAAGGCAAACCCGCCGAAAGGCGGCGGCGCAAAGCUAAAAGGGCCUAAACGCGGCGCGGCGCAAACGCCGGCCACGCAUUGGCAGCCAGCUACCG
rnacentral:ncRNA from 1 species